rnacentral:rRNA from 1 species
UACGAAGGGGGCUAGCGUUGCUCGGAAUCACUGGGCGUAAAGCGCACGUAGGCGGAUCUUUAAGUCAGGGGUGAAAUCCCAAGGCUCAACCUUGGAACUGCCUUUGAUACUGGGGAUCUCGAGUCCGGAAGAGGUUGGUGGAACUGCGAGUGUAGAGGUGAAAUUCGUAGAUAUUCGCAAGAACGCCAGUGGCGAAGGCGGCCAACUGGUCCGGUACUGACGCUGAGGUGCGAAAGCGUGGGGAGCAAACAGG